rnacentral:lncRNA from 1 species
CCCUGAGCUAACUGCUGCCACUCCUCCUCUUUUUGCUGAGGAAGACUGGCCCUGAGCUAACAUCCAUGCCCACCUUCCUCUACUUUAUACGUGGGAUGCCUAGCACAGCAUGGCUUUUGCCAAGUGGUGCCAUGUCUGCACCCGGGAUCCAAACCGGCGAACCCUGGGCCGCCGAGAAUUGGAACGUGUGAACUUCACCACUGCACCACUGGGCUGGCCCCAUGAGAGUGCUGGAACUUGGUCUUCUGCAAAGGCUCUCUUGUCGUGGGUUUCUACCCAAAUCGGUAUUUUCCAGGCGUUCCAGGACUGCGGCUGAGAGGGGCUGGAGCCAGUCCACAGCCCAGAGCAGGAUCACCUGUUCCCCAUUGCACAGGGCCAGGUCAAGAUUGCCUGGGCCAAUUGAGUUUCUGGGAACACCUUUAGAGGAGAUUCAUUCAUACUUUAUUUUGUAUCUGCCUUUACAUACCACUCCCUGUUUGACAGGCUGUGCCAAGCCUGAGAGAUCUACAAUGGGAGCUUGGCACACAAAUGAUUUUAGUACAGUCCAUGUAAUGGAGGAAAGACAGGACAUUUUUGGAGCAUCUGCUGUGCUGGACAGGUUAGAUUCAGUGAUGAACACACAGGACUUCUCACUGCAAGGGACUCAAUCUGAUGGGAGGGAUGGAUACAGUGCCAGAAAUGUGUGCAGGGAGUGAAGGAAGCACCGAGGAGGAAGCCGACCCAGCCAGGAACUGCGUUGGGUGUGCCCUCCCAUGCCCAGCCUGCUCCCCUCAUUUGGUCUCAUCAUUGUUCCCUUUGUUGCGCUCCCUCAUUAUUCAGGAGGCAGGAGCUACCAGGCCUGAACAGAAUGGGGACAGUCCAGGAAGAGGAAACAUCCCACCAGGGAGGGGGAGCAUUUUCAAGUUUCUUGCCCUUCACUGGGUCUCCUCGAUGUGCCUCAGUGAUUUGAAUCAAUCCAGUUAUUCCCAUGCACCAAUAUUUUUCAUUCUCUACCAUUGGGAACCAGCUUUCUAUUCCUCUCAUAUUCUCUGGUCUUUUUGCCUCUCCAAAUGGCUUUUAACUAUACAAUUUUUGCCUACUCAACUCGGAUGACAGUUCAAACUAACAGUGAGCUGUUGAACCCUGAUGUAUUUCAGAGUGUGUUUAUCCUGGGCAUUAUCCUAAAGGCGGCGAUGCAUACAAAUUUUGCUGGGAAAAUGCAGCAGUACUGCCGACUGGUGGUGAGGGUAGCUUUGUAAGCGCACUUUUGUUUUCAGAUCUUCCAUGCCCCAAGGCAUUCCCAGGGCUGAGGAGUUUGGUAAAUUCUGGGGAAAGAGAGGAAUUUGAAAUGUAUGAGUUGGUAGCUCAUUUAGAGGAUGUUCGGCCACCUGCUCUCAGACCGCGGGGCCUUUCACAUCCAGUACAUGUACGGCGCAGGUGCCAGGAGAUUGAAAAUGAAAGUGAAUUGUCGAUUUUUCUAUCUUUUCAUUCAACUUCUUUUCAAAAGCUCUUCCUCUUUCAAAAAUCAUCCAAAUGCCUUUCCUUUAAAGUUAACACCACAAGGAAUUGAAGUCUCAUUUCCUGGAAAUCCAGGGCUGGACGGCAUCCAUCCUUCAAAUGAGCCCCUAGAGAGAAGACGUGGAGACGCGAACUCCCAACUCAGGUUUCCGGGGGAUGCGUAUUAGACCCCCGGCCUGGAAGCUGAGGUCACGGAUUACUUUCUCAUUGCCGUCAAGGCAUAAUGCAUGCCAUGCUCCAGCAUGAAGGUCUGUCCAUGUUAUCAAAAAUGGAAGGAUACCAUCCUUUCUCAUGGGUGAGUAAUAUUCCAUUGUGUGUAUGUACCACAUCUUUUUUAUCCCUUCAUCCAUUGAUGGUCAUCUGGGUUGUAUCCAUAUCUUGGCUAUUGAGAAUAAGACUGCAAAACAUAGGAGUGCAUAUUGCUCGUCAAAAUCCUGUUUCUACCAGAUAAAUACAGAUUGGAAUCCUGCCUCUCUCACUAGGCUCUGUGAUAUUGGGCAAGUUUCUUAACCCUUCUCAGCCUCAGGUCAGGUAUCAUUCCAAACUC